AUUGAACGCUGGCGGCAGGCCUAACACAUGCAAGUCGAGCGAGCGGCGGACGGGUGAGUAAUGUAUGGGGACUGCCCGAUAGAGGGGGAUAACUACUGGAAACGGUGACUAAUACCGCAUACUAUCGGAUAACCCAUAUGGGAUUCGCUGGUAGGUGGGGUACAGGGUCACCUAGGCGACGAUCUCUAGCUGGUCUUAGAGGAUGAUCAUACACACUGGGACGGAGAAACGGCUCAGACUCCUACGGAGGCAGCAGUGGGGAAUAUUGCACAAUGGGCGCAUGCCUGAUGCAGCCAGGCCGCAUGUAUGAAGAAGGCCUUAGGGUUGUAAAGUACUUUCAGCGGGGAGGCGUUACCCGCAGAAGAAGCACCGGCUAACUCCGUGCCAGCAGCCGCGGUAAUAC
rnacentral:rRNA from 1 species